GGGUUGUGAGGUUAAGCGACUAAGCGUACACGGUGGAUGCCCUGGCAGUCAGAGGCGAUGAAGGACGUGCUAAUCUGCGAUAAGCGUCGGUAAGGUGAUAUGAACCGUUAUAACCGGCGAUUUCCGAAUGGGGAAACCCAGUGUGAUUCGUCACACUAUCAUUAACUGAAUCCAUAGGUUAAUGAGGCGAACCGGGGGAACUGAAACAUCUAAGUACCCCGAGGAAAAGAAAUCAACCGAGAUUCCCCCAGUAGCGGCGAGCGAACGGGGAGCAGCCCAGAGCCUGAAUCAGUGUGUGUGUUAGUGGAAGCGUCUGGAAAGGCGCGCGAUACAGGGUGACAGCCCCGUACACAAAAAUGCACAUGCUGUGAGCUCGAUGAGUAGGGCGGGACACGUGGUAUCCUGUCUGAAUAUGGGGGGACCAUCCUCCAAGGCUAAAUACUCCUGACUGACCGAUAGUGAACCAGUACCGUGAGGGAAAGGCGAAAAGAACCCCGGCGAGGGGAGUGAAAAAGAACCUGAAACCGUGUACGUACAAGCAGUGGGAGCACGCUUAGGCGUGUGACUGCGUACCUUUUGUAUAAUGGGUCAGCGACUUAUAUUCUGUAGCAAGGUUAACCGAAUAGGGGAGCCGAAGGGAAACCGAGUCUUAACUGGGCGUUAAGUUGCAGGGUAUAGACCCGAAACCCGGUGAUCUAGCCAUGGGCAGGUUGAAGGUUGGGUAACACUAACUGGAGGACCGAACCGACUAAUGUUGAAAAAUUAGCGGAUGACUUGUGGCUGGGGGUGAAAGGCCAAUCAAACCGGGAGAUAGCUGGUUCUCCCCGAAAGCUAUUUAGGUAGCGCCUCGUGAAUUCAUCUCCGGGGGUAGAGCACUGUUUCGGCAAGGGGGUCAUCCCGACUUACCAACCCGAUGCAAACUGCGAAUACCGGAGAAUGUUAUCACGGGAGACACACGGCGGGUGCUAACGUCCGUCGUGAAGAGGGAAACAACCCAGACCGCCAGCUAAGGUCCCAAAGUCAUGGUUAAGUGGGAAACGAUGUGGGAAGGCCCAGACAGCCAGGAUGUUGGCUUAGAAGCAGCCAUCAUUUAAAGAAAGCGUAAUAGCUCACUGGUCGAGUCGGCCUGCGCGGAAGAUGUAACGGGGCUAAACCAUGCACCGAAGCUGCGGCAGCGACGCUUAUGCGUUGUUGGGUAGGGGAGCGUUCUGUAAGCCUGCGAAGGUGUGCUGUGAGGCAUGCUGGAGGUAUCAGAAGUGCGAAUGCUGACAUAAGUAACGAUAAAGCGGGUGAAAAGCCCGCUCGCCGGAAGACCAAGGGUUCCUGUCCAACGUUAAUCGGGGCAGGGUGAGUCGACCCCUAAGGCGAGGCCGAAAGGCGUAGUCGAUGGGAAACAGGUUAAUAUUCCUGUACUUGGUGUUACUGCGAAGGGGGGACGGAGAAGGCUAUGUUGGCCGGGCGACGGUUGUCCCGGUUUAAGCGUGUAGGCUGGUUUUCCAGGCAAAUCCGGAAAAUCAAGGCUGAGGCGUGAUGACGAGGCACUACGGUGCUGAAGCAACAAAUGCCCUGCUUCCAGGAAAAGCCUCUAAGCAUCAGGUAACAUCAAAUCGUACCCCAAACCGACACAGGUGGUCAGGUAGAGAAUACCAAGGCGCUUGAGAGAACUCGGGUGAAGGAACUAGGCAAAAUGGUGCCGUAACUUCGGGAGAAGGCACGCUGAUAUGUAGGUGAAGUCCCUCGCGGAUGGAGCUGAAAUCAGUCGAAGAUACCAGCUGGCUGCAACUGUUUAUUAAAAACACAGCACUGUGCAAACACGAAAGUGGACGUAUACGGUGUGACGCCUGCCCGGUGCCGGAAGGUUAAUUGAUGGGGUUAGCGCAAGCGAAGCUCUUGAUCGAAGCCCCGGUAAACGGCGGCCGUAACUAUAACGGUCCUAAGGUAGCGAAAUUCCUUGUCGGGUAAGUUCCGACCUGCACGAAUGGCGUAAUGAUGGCCAGGCUGUCUCCACCCGAGACUCAGUGAAAUUGAACUCGCUGUGAAGAUGCAGUGUACCCGCGGCAAGACGGAAAGACCCCGUGAACCUUUACUAUAGCUUGACACUGAACAUUGAGCCUUGAUGUGUAGGAUAGGUGGGAGGCUUUGAAGUGUGGACGCCAGUCUGCAUGGAGCCGACCUUGAAAUACCACCCUUUAAUGUUUGAUGUUCUAACGUGGACCCGUAAUCCGGGUUGCGGACAGUGUCUGGUGGGUAGUUUGACUGGGGCGGUCUCCUCCUAAAGAGUAACGGAGGAGCACGAAGGUUGGCUAAUCCUGGUCGGACAUCAGGAGGUUAGUGCAAUGGCAUAAGCCAGCUUGACUGCGAGCGUGACGGCGCGAGCAGGUGCGAAAGCAGGUCAUAGUGAUCCGGUGGUUCUGAAUGGAAGGGCCAUCGCUCAACGGAUAAAAGGUACUCCGGGGAUAACAGGCUGAUACCGCCCAAGAGUUCAUAUCGACGGCGGUGUUUGGCACCUCGAUGUCGGCUCAUCACAUCCUGGGGCUGAAGUAGGUCCCAAGGGUAUGGCUGUUCGCCAUUUAAAGUGGUACGCGAGCUGGGUUUAGAACGUCGUGAGACAGUUCGGUCCCUAUCUGCCGUGGGCGCUGGAGAACUGAGGGGGGCUGCUCCUAGUACGAGAGGACCGGAGUGGACGCAUCACUGGUGUUCGGGUUGUCAUGCCAAUGGCACUGCCCGGUAGCUAAAUGCGGAAGAGAUAAGUGCUGAAAGCAUCUAAGCACGAAACUUGCCCCGAGAUGAGUUCUCCCUGACCCUUUAAGGGUCCUGAAGGAACGUUGAAGACGACGACGUUGAUAGGCCGGGUGUGUAAGCGCAGCGAUGCGUUGAGCUAACCGGUACUAAUGAACCGUGAGGCUUAACCUUACAACGCCGAAGGUGUUU
rnacentral:rRNA from 1 species